GAGAAGUCACAGGUAGGUUCAUAGCAGCUGAUGUAUCGAGUAUCGUGCCACGUCGACGCCUACCCACAAACUACAGGAAAAAAAAAACUUCGAUCCUGCCAGGAUUCGAACCUGGAAUCUUCUGAUCCGUAGUCAGACGCGUUAUCCGUUGCGCCACAGGACCGGCCUUGAUUUGGUGUAUUAUAUAUUAUCAGAAAUAGAAUAUAUUGUUAACAAUAUAAUAAAUAUAAUUAAAAUAAC